rnacentral:ncRNA from 1 species
GCCGGGAGGGUGGUGAAAUAUAAUACCGCUCGCGGAAAUACACCGCAGGCCGUCUUUUGGGCUUUCUUAACCUCCCGGCACCACUCC